CCUACGGGAGACAGCAGUGAGGAAUAUUGGUCAAUGGACGAGAGUCUGAACCAGCCAAGUAGCGUGAAGGAUGACUGCCCUAUGGGUUGUAAACUUCUUUUAUAUGGGAAUAAAAUGUUCCACGUGUGGGAUUUUGUAUGUACCAUAUGAAUAAGGAUCGGCUAACUCCGUGCCAGCAGCCGCGGUAAUACGGAGGAUCCGAGUGUUAUCCGGAUUUAUUGGGUUUAAAGGGAGCGUAGGUGGAUUGUUAAGUCAGUUGUGAAAGUUUGCGGCUCAACCGUAAAAUUGCAGUUGAAACUGGCAGUCUUGAGUACAGUAGAGGUGGGCGGAAUGCGUGGUGUAGCGGUGAAAUGCUUAGAUAUCACGAAGAACUCAGAUUGCGAAGGCAGCUCGCUGGACUGCAACUGACACUGAGGCUCGAAAGUGUGGGUAUCAAACAGGAUUAGAUACCCUGGUAGUC
rnacentral:rRNA from 1 species